rnacentral:rRNA from 1 species
GACGAACGCUGGCGGCGUGCUUAACACAUGCAAGUCGAACGGUGAAGCGCCUUCCUUUUUGGUGGGUGUGGAUGAGCGGCGAACGGGUGAGUAACACGUGAGUAACCUGCCCCCUUCUUCUGGAUAACCGCAUGAAAGUGUGGCUAAUACGGGAUAUUCUGGGUCUGUCGCAUGAUGGGUCUGGGAGAGAUCUUGUUUCGGUGGGGGAUGGGCUCGCGGACUAUCAGCUUGUUGGUGGGGUGAUGGCCUACCAAGGCGGUGACGGGUAGCCGGCCUGGGAGGGUGGACGGCCACACAGGGACUGAGACACGGCCCAGACUCCGACGGGAGGCAGCAGUGGGGAAUAUUGCACAGUGGGCGCAAGCCUGAUGCAGCGACGCGGCGGGGGGGAUGGAGGCCUGCGGGUUGUGAACCUCUUUCGGCAGGGAAGCAGGCUUGCCUCGUUUGUGGGUGGGUUGACGGUAGCUGGAUAAGAAGCGCCGGCUAACUACGUG